rfam:Gossypium raimondii Chr02_contig_1456, whole genome shotgun sequence.
UCAAAAAAAAUUCAUUCAUUUUUAUUGUUAAAAAUUGGCAUGACUGACUAGAAAGUUACAUGUGACAUGCCACAUAUACCUCGUUCUGACGUACAAGAACUAAUUUUUAAUGGUAAAAAUAGAUGAAUUUUUA